rnacentral:rRNA from 1 species
CGGGUGAGUAACGCGUGAGGAACCUGCCUCAAAGAGGGGGACAACAGUUGGAAACGACUGCUAAUACCGCAUAAGCCCACGGCUCGGCAUCGAGCAGAGGGAAAAGGAGCAAUCCGCUUUGAGAUGGCCUCGCGUCCGAUUAGCUAGUUGGUGAGGUAACGGCCCACCAAGGCGACGAUCGGUAGCCGGACUGGGAGGUUGAGCGGCCACAUUGGGACUGAGACACGGCCCAG